AUGCGACCCCAGGUCAGGCGGGACUACCCGCUGAA
rnacentral:rRNA from 1 species